rnacentral:tRNA from 1 species
CUUAGCUCAGCUGGCAGAGCAUCUCCCUUUUAAGGAGAGGGUCCUGGGUUCGAGCCCCA